rnacentral:rRNA from 1 species
AUACGUAGGGGGCGAGCGUUGUCCGGAAUGAUUGGGCGUAAAGGGCGCAUAGGCGGCCCGGUAAGUCUGGAGUGAAAGUCCUGUUUUUAAGAUGGGAAUUGCUUUGGAUACUGUCGGGCUUGAGUGCAGGAGAGGUAAGUGGAAUUCCCAGUGUAGCGGUGAAAUGCGUAGAGAUUGGGAGGAACACCAGUGGCGAAGGCGACUUACUGGACUGUAACUGACGCUGAGGCGCGAAAGUGUGGGGAGCAAACAGGAUUAGAUACCCUGGUAGUCCACACUGUAAACGAUGAAUGCUAGGUGUAGGGGGUAUCGACCCCUUCUGUGCCGCAGUCAACACAAUAAGCAUUCCGCCUGGGGGGUACGGCCGCAAGGUUGAAACUCAAAUGAAUUGGCGGGG